rnacentral:rRNA from 1 species
CCUACGUGAGGCAGCAGUUAGGAAUAUUGGUCAAUGGGCGCGAGCCUGAACCAGCCAAGUAGCGUGAAGGAUGACUGCCCUACGGGUUGUAAACUUCUUUUAUAAAGGAAUAAAGUGAGGCACGUGUGCCUUUUUGUAUGUACUUUAUGAAUAAGGAUCGGCUAACUCCGUGCCAGCAGCCGCGGUAAUACGGAGGAUCCGAGCGUUAUCCGGAUUUAUUGGGUUUAAAGGGAGCGUAGAUGGGUUGUUAAGUCAGUUGUGAAUGUUUGCGGCUCAACCGUAAAAUUGCAAUUGAUACUGGCAGUCUUGAGUACAGUUGAGGUAGGCGGAAAUCGUGGUGUAGCGGUGAAAUGCUUAGAUAUCACGAAGAACUCCGAUUGCGAAGGCAGCUUACUAAACUGCCACUGACAUUGAUGCUCGAAAGUGUGGGUAUCAAACAGGAUUAGAUACCCCUGUAGUC